AAUUGAACUAUAGCAUAAAGUGGAUGCCUUGACUUGAAUGUCUGAAGAAGGACGUAUAAAUCUGCGAUAAGCCUGGAAGAGUUGAUAAAAAGCGUUAUUAUUCCAGGAUUUCCGAAUGGGGGAACCUAAUAUAAGUAAUUUAUAUUAUCUGUAAUACAGAGAGACACAUUGUGAACUGAAAUAUCUAAGUAGCAAUGGAAAAGAAAUCAAACGAGAUUCCCUGAGUAGUGACGAGCGAAACGGGAAGAGCCCAAACUGUAAAUACUGUAUAAGUAGUUUUUGGUAUUACGGGGUUGUAGGAAUAACAUUAGGGGAGACUAAUAAACCUAAUAUUUUUUAGAAUUAUUAAAAGAACAAGCUGGGAAGUUUGGCCAUAGAGGGUUAAAGCCCCGUAUUUUAAAAUAAUUUUAUCAAAUAUCUGUUAUUUCCUGAGUAGGUUCGGACACGUGAAAUCCGGAUUGAAUUUGGGGGGACCACCCUCCAAGGCUAAAUAUCAUUCAAGAUCGAUAGUGAACUAGUACCAUGAGGGAAAGGUGAAAAGAACCCCGGGAGGGGAGUGAAAUAGAACCUGAAACUUUAUGCUUUUAAAGAGUGGGAGCCUUCGGGUGACCACGUGCUUUUUGUAGAACGAACCAACGAGUUAGUGUGUAUGGCAAGGUUAAGACAGUUAA
rnacentral:rRNA from 1 species